rnacentral:rRNA from 1 species
UUUAACGAGAGUUUGAUCCUGGCUCAGGAUGAACGCUGGCGGCGUGCUUAACACAUGCAAGUCGAGCGAAGCGCUUUGGAAAGAUUCUUCGGAUGAUUUCCUUUGUGACUGAGCGGCGGACGGGUGAGUAACGCGUGGGUAACCUGCCUCAUACAGGGGGAUAACAGUUAGAAAUGACUGCUAAUACCGCAUAAGACCACGGUACCGCAUGGUACAGUGGUAAAAACUCCGGUGGUAUGAGAUGGACCCGCGUCUGAUUAGGUAGUUGGUGGGGUAACGGCCUACCAAGCCGACGAUCAGUAGCCGACCUGAGAGGGUGACCGGCCACAUUGGGACUGAGACACGGCCCAGACUCCUACGGGAGGCAGCAGUGGGGAAUAUUGCACAAUGGAGGAAACUCUGAUGCAGCGACGCCGCGUGAAGGAUGAAGUAUUUCGGUAUGUAAACUUCUAUCAGCAGGGAAGAAAAUGACGGUACCUGACUAAGAAGCCCCGGCUAACUACGUGCCAGCAGCCGCGGUAAUACGUAGGGGGCAAGCG